GACGAACGCUGGCGGCGUGCCUAAUACAUGCAAGUCGAACGCUGAAGGCGGAGCUUGCUUCUCUGGAUGAGUUGCGAACGGGUGAGUAACGCGUAGGUAACCUGCCUGUUAGCGGGGGAUAACUAUUGGAAACGAUAGCUAAUACCGCAUAAGAGUAGCUGUUGCAUGACAUUUGCUUAAAAGGUGCAAUUGCAUCACUACCAGAUGGACCUGCGUUGUUUUAGGUAGUGGGUGGGGUAACGGCUCACCAAGGCGACGAUACAUAGCCGAACGGAGAGGGGGAGCGGCCACCCUGGGAGGGGGACACGGCCCAGAGUGCUUCGGGAGGCAGCAGUAGGGAAUCUGCGGCAAGGGACGGAAGUCUGACCGAGCAACGCCGAGGGAGGGAAGAAGGUUGUCGGGUCGUAAAGCUCGGUUGUAAGAGAAGAACGAGUGUGAGAGUGGAAAGUUCACACUGUGACGGUAUCUGACCAGAAAGGGACGGCUAACUACGUG
rnacentral:rRNA from 1 species